rnacentral:misc_RNA from 1 species
AUACAUCUCUACUAUAGUCGCGCGCAGUUGCAUGAAAACACAAGAGCAUAGAGAAGAAAGAUGCAUGACAUUACGGUAUCUGUGAUUUUCUCAUUAUGCGUAUGCAAGCGCCGACUAUUUGUCGAACGGUAUUCGUCGUCGCCGUCGUCGUCGCCGUCGUCGUCGCCGUCGUCGUCGUCAAGGCGAGAUUCCCGUUUUAGUACAGAAUGGAACGAUAGCAAAAUUUGGCAACACAUAUGUGUAUACACAUACAUAUAUGCUUGCCAUAUCGAAUGUAAUAUAUGAUGAUGCAUGUGUACCAUAUGCUAGUGAUGUUGUUACUACCGUUGUCGAUGUUGAUUAUCAAUGGGUAUCAUUGGGAAUCGUGGAUUGUGUGUGAAUCAUCGUCAAUGGAUGACAUGUGUUGUACAGUAAUAACGGAUGGACAUGAUAAAACACUAGACGGUAGAUACAUAAAUUUCAUCAUAUUAUAUUUUGCAU